AUGGCGCGUACGAAGCAGACCGCUCGCAAGUCCACCGGCGGCAAGGCCCCCCGCAAGCAGCUCGCCACCACCAUCGCGGCGAGGAAGUCGGCCCCGACCACUGGCGGCGUGAAGAAGCCCCACCGCUUCAGGCCCGGCACGGUGGCGCUGAGAGAGAUCCGCAAGUAUCAGAAGAGCACGGAUCUGCUCAUCCGCAAGCUGCCGUUCCAGCGUCUGGUGCGGGAGAUCGCGCAGGAUUUCAAGACGGACCUGCGCUUCCAGAGCCAUGCCGUGCUGGCGCUUCAGGAGGCCGCCGAGGCAUAUCUCGUCGGGCUCUUCGAGGACACCAAUCUCUGCGCCAUCCACGCCAAGCGUGUCACCAUCAUGCCCAAGGACAUCCAGCUCGCCCGCCGCAUUCGUGGUGAACGCGCCUAA
rnacentral:rRNA from 1 species